rnacentral:rRNA from 1 species
UACGGAGGGUGCGAGCGUUGUCCGGAAUCAUUGGGCGUAAAGGGCGCGUAGGUGGCCUGGUCAGCGUGCGGUGAAAGCUCGGGGCUCAACCCCGAGUCGGCCGUGCGAACUGCUGGGCUUGAGCACUGUAGAGGCAGGCGGAAUUCCGGGUGUAGCGGUGGAAUGCGUAGAGAUCCGGAAGAACACCGGUGGCGAAGGCGGCCUGCUGGGCAGUGGCUGACACUGAGGCGCGACAGCGUGGGGAGCAAACAGG